rnacentral:tRNA from 12 species
GUAGUUCAGUCGGUAGAACGGCGGACUGUUAAUCCGUAUGUCACUGGUUCGAGUCCAGUCAGAGGAGCCA